AAGCAGACCUGAUCGGCAGUACCAAGGAAUUUGUUAAUCUGUUCAUAGGGGAGGGAGGAAGUGGAAAACCCAGAAGGCAGAAAGCCAAUGUGAUCAAGAUCAUCUACAGUGAUCGCUACCUGGUUUUUGCUAGAUUGGAUCUUGGAGAUUCUAUCCAGAACCCAAAGAGCAACUUUUGAUGCACAAAAAGGGCGCAGCAUUAUGGAUAAAUUUGAGAUGUGCAAGCAAGACCCAACUUUCUCGCUAAUCAAAGGAUUUAAAAUGCC